rnacentral:rRNA from 1 species
GAUGAACGCUGGCGGCGUGCCUAAUACAUGCAAGUCGAGCGAACAGACGAGAAGCUUGCUUUUCUGACGUUAGCGGCGGACGGGUGAGUAACACGUGGAUAACCUACCUAUAAGACUGGGAUAACUUCGGGAAACCGGAGCUAAUACCGGAUAAUAUUUUGAACCGCAUGGUUCAAUAGUGAAAGACGGUCUUGCUGUCACUUAUAGAUGGAUCCGCGCUGCAUUAGCUAGUUGGUAAGGUAACGGCUUACCAAGGCAACGAUGCGUAGCCGACCUGAGAGAGUGAUCGGCCACCCUGGAGCUGAGACACGGUCCAGACUCCUACGGGAGGCAGCAGUAGGGAAUCUGCCGCAAUGGGCGAAAGCCUGACGGAGCAACGCCGCGUGAGUGAUGAAGGUCUUCGGAUCGUAAAACUCUGUUAUUAGGGAAGAACAUAUGUGUAAGUAACUGUGCACAUCUUGACGGUACCUAAUCAGAAAGCCACGGCUAACUACGUG